rnacentral:lncRNA from 1 species
GAGCCAUAAUGUUCAUCGAGCUGUUUUUCUUUUUCUUCUUCUAAAAACAACUAGAAUCUGGUGAAGCCACUCCCAAGUCUCAAGAGGCUUCACUUGCUUUCAUGAGUCGUCUAUACAGUGCAAAGAAGAUGGAGAGGCUGUAGCUCACGUGAUAUGUGCCAAGGAGGCUCUAAAUAACUCAGACGCUUUGUUCUCCUCCGCCUUGCGAGCCUCCUGCCUAGACAAAUGUAUUCGUCCUCAUGUGCAACAACCUUGUGGUCUUGAGAGACGGGCACCUCCCUAUCUCUCCAACCAUGAUAAACUGGUUUUUCGAUGAGAACAUCUUUAUGGGGCCUUUGUUUGUCCCGCUGAUAAGCCCUUCUUCGUCCAUCCUCACAAAUGUGACCUCAGAUCUGUCUUACUCUAUCCACGGUAGUUCUCAUGGUCAUCCACUCUAACUCUAGCAAUAGUGCAUGUAUAACUCUAGCAUUAGCUGAUGAAGUGAUGAUGCUGGUCAUUGUACCUGUUUUGACUUUUCUUGGGAAUAGGGUCUUGUUUACUUUCCAUAAAUUUUGUAAAAAAAAAAAAGAUUCCUCGUCACAUCAAAUCUUGCGGCACAUGCAUAGAACAUUAAAUAUAGAUAAAAAAUUAACUAGUUGCACAAUUUAUCUGUAAUUUACGAGAAGAAUCUUUUAAGCCUAUUUAGUCUAUGGUUUAAUAAUAUUUUGUCAAAUAUAAACGAAAAUGGUAACAUGUUCAUUUUGUAAAAUAUUUUGCAACUAAGUAGACCUAUAAGGAUGAAGUGGUUAGAAGAUGGCACUGCUGGAUAAACGGGUGAUGAGUUGGAAAGAAUGAAAGAAAGAAAGAAACGAAUGAAUGGAAAGAAAUAAAGACUCUGCAGAAAGCGUAAGGGGCGAGUCUAGUAGUAGUACUAGCGUUAGUUGACUUUGUGUAUGCAUGGUUGCUGUGGAAUGCUUGGAAAACAAAGGCUUUGUUUACUUCCAUCUAAAAAUCCAAAAAAUUUUAAGAUUCCAUGUCACAUCGAAUCUUUAGAUAUAUGUAUAGAGUAUUAAAUAUAGAUGAAAAUAAAGACUAAUUGUA